GCGCAAAGUGGCCACCACCAUGUUC
rnacentral:misc_RNA from 1 species